rnacentral:rRNA from 1 species
AGAAUCAACGCUGGCGGCGUGCCUAACACAUGCAAGUCGAACGAGAAAGUGGAGCAAUCCAUGAGUAAAGUGGCGACCGGGUGAGUAACACGUGACUAACCUACCUUCGAGGUGGGGAUAACCUCGGGAAACCGGGCUAAUACCGCAUAACAUCUUUGAAGUGGAAACUUUGGAGAUCAAAGGAGCAAUUCGCUGGAAGAGGGGUCGCGGCUGAUUAGCUAGUUGGCGGGUAACGGCCCACCAAGGCUUAGAUCGGUA